UCAGUAACACGUAGUCACAUGCCCAGGGGACGUGGAUAACCUCGGGAAACUGAGGAUAAACCGCGAUAGGUCACUACUUCUGGAAUGGGUAAUGACCCAAACCUAUAUCGGCCCUGGAUUGGACUGCGGCCGAUCAGGCUGUUGGUGAGGUAAUGGCCCACCAAACCUGUAACCGGUACGGGCUCUGAGAGGAGGAGCCCGGAGAUGGGCACUGAGACAAGGGCCCAGGCCCUAUGGGGCGCAGCAGGCGCGAAAACCUCUGCAAUAGGCGAAAAGGCUUUGACAGGGUUACUCUCGAGUGAUUUCCGGUUAAGGGAGAUCUUUUGGCACCUCUAAAAAUGGUGCAGGAAUCAAGGGGUGGGCAAGUCUGGUGCCAGC
rnacentral:rRNA from 1 species